rnacentral:rRNA from 1 species
UUAAGCGACUAAGCGUACACGGUGGAUGCCCUGGCAGUCAGAGGCGAUGAAGGACGUGCUAAUCUGCGAUAAGCGUCGGUAAGGUGAUAUGAACCGUUAUAACCGGCGAUUUCCGAAUGGGGAAACCCAGUGUGUUUCGACACACUAUCAUUAACUGAAUCCAUAGGUUAAUGAGGCGAACCGGGGGAACUGAAACAUCUAAGUACCCCGAGGAAAAGAAAUCAACCGAGAUUCCCCCAGUAGCGGCGAGCGAACGGGGAGCAGCCCAGAGCCUGAAUCAGUGUGUGUGUUAGUGGAAGCGUCUGGAAAGGCGCGCGAUACAGGGUGACAGCCCCGUACACAAAAAUGCACAUGCUGUGAGCUCGAUGAGUAGGGCGGGACACGUGGUAUCCUGUCUGAAUAUGGGGGGACCAUCCUCCAAGGCUAAAUACUCCUGACUGACCGAUAGUGAACCAGUACCGUGAGGGAAAGGCGAAAAGAACCCCGGCGAGGGGAGUGAAAAAGAACCUGAAACCGUGUACGUACAAGCAGUGGGAGCACGCUUAGGCGUGUGACUGCGUACCUUUUGUAUAAUGGGUCAGCGACUUAUAUUCUGUAGCAAGGUUAACCGAAUAGGGGAGCCGAAGGGAAACCGAGUCUUAACUGGGCGUUAAGUUGCAGGGUAUAGACCCGAAACCCGGUGAUCUAGCCAUGGGCAGGUUGAAGGUUGGGUAACACUAACUGGAGGACCGAACCGACUAAUGUUGAAAAAUUAGCGGAUGACUUGUGGCUGGGGGUGAAAGGCCAAUCAAACCGGGAGAUAGCUGGUUCUCCCCGAAAGCUAUUUAGGUAGCGCCUCGUGAAUUCAUCUCCGGGGGUAGAGCACUGUUUCGGCAAGGGGGUCAUCCCGACUUACCAACCCGAUGCAAACUGCGAAUACCGGAGAAUGUUAUCACGGGAGACACACGGCGGGUGCUAACGUCCGUCGUGAAGAGGGAAACAACCCAGACCGCCAGCUAAGGUCCCAAAGUCAUGGUUAAGUGGGAAACGAUGUGGGAAGGCCCAGACAGCCAGGAUGUUGGCUUAGAAGCAGCCAUCAUUUAAAGAAAGCGUAAUAGCUCACUGGUCGAGUCGGCCUGCGCGGAAGAUGUAACGGGGCUAAACCAUGCACCGAAGCUGCGGCAGCGACGCUUAUGCGUUGUUGGGUAGGGGAGCGUUCUGUAAGCCUGUGAAGGUGUGCUGUGAGGCAUGCUGGAGGUAUCAGAAGUGCGAAUGCUGACAUAAGUAACGAUAAAGCGGGUGAAAAGCCCGCUCGCCGGAAGACCAAGGGUUCCUGUCCAACGUUAAUCGGGGCAGGGUGAGUCGACCCCUAAGGCGAGGCCGAAAGGCGUAGUCGAUGGGAAACAGGUUAAUAUUCCUGUACUUGGUGUUACUGCGAAGGGGGGACGGAGAAGGCUAUGUUGGCCGGGCGACGGUUGUCCCGGUUUAAGCGUGUAGGCUGGUUUUCCAGGCAAAUCCGGAAAAUCAAGGCUGAGGCGUGAUGACGAGGCACUACGGUGCUGAAGCAACAAAUGCCCUGCUUCCAGGAAAAGCCUCUAAGCAUCAGGUAACAUCAAAUCGUACCCCAAACCGACACAGGUGGUCAGGUAGAGAAUACCAAGGCGCUUGAGAGAACUCGGGUGAAGGAACUAGGCAAAAUGGUGCCGUAACUUCGGGAGAAGGCACGCUGAUAUGUAGGUGAAGCGACUUGCUCGUGGAGCUGAAAUCAGUCGAAGAUACCAGCUGGCUGCAACUGUUUAUUAAAAACACAGCACUGUGCAAACACGAAAGUGGACGUAUACGGUGUGACGCCUGCCCGGUGCCGGAAGGUUAAUUGAUGGGGUUAGCGCAAGCGAAGCUCUUGAUCGAAGCCCCGGUAAACGGCGGCCGUAACUAUAACGGUCCUAAGGUAGCGAAAUUCCUUGUCGGGUAAGUUCCGACCUGCACGAAUGGCGUAAUGAUGGCCAGGCUGUCUCCACCCGAGACUCAGUGAAAUUGAACUCGCUGUGAAGAUGCAGUGUACCCGCGGCAAGACGGAAAGACCCCGUGAACCUUUACUAUAGCUUGACACUGAACAUUGAGCCUUGAUGUGUAGGAUAGGUGGGAGGCUUAGAAGUGUGGACGCCAGUCUGCAUGGAGCCGACCUUGAAAUACCACCCUUUAAUGUUUGAUGUUCUAACGUUGACCCGUAAUCCGGGUUGCGGACAGUGUCUGGUGGGUAGUUUGACUGGGGCGGUCUCCUCCUAAAGAGUAACGGAGGAGCACGAAGGUUGGCUAAUCCUGGUCGGACAUCAGGAGGUUAGUGCAAUGGCAUAAGCCAGCUUGACUGCGAGCGUGACGGCGCGAGCAGGUGCGAAAGCAGGUCAUAGUGAUCCGGUGGUUCUGAAUGGAAGGGCCAUCGCUCAACGGAUAAAAGGUACUCCGGGGAUAACAGGCUGAUACCGCCCAAGAGUUCAUAUCGACGGCGGUGUUUGGCACCUCGAUGUCGGCUCAUCACAUCCUGGGGCUGAAGUAGGUCCCAAGGGUAUGGCUGUUCGCCAUUUAAAGUGGUACGCGAGCUGGGUUUAGAACGUCGUGAGACAGUUCGGUCCCUAUCUGCCGUGGGCGCUGGAGAACUGAGGGGGGCUGCUCCUAGUACGAGAGGACCGGAGUGGACGCAUCACUGGUGUUCGGGUUGUCAUGCCAAUGGCACUGCCCGGUAGCUAAAUGCGGAAGAGAUAAGUGCUGAAAGCAUCUAAGCACGAAACUUGCCCCGAGAUGAGUUCUCCCUGACCCUUUAAGGGUCCUGAAGGAACGUUGAAGACGACGACGUUGAUAGGCCGGGUGUGUAAGCGCAGCGAUGCGUUGAGCUAACCGGUACUAAUGAACCGUGAGGCUUAACCUU